UACGUAGGGGGCAAGCGUUAUCCGGAAUCAUUGGGCGUAAAGGGUGCGUAGGCGGCCCUAUAGGUCAGAGGUCAAAGGCUACGGCUCAACCGUAGUAAGCCUUUGAAACUGUAGGGCUUGAGUGCAGGAGAGGAGAGUGGAAUUCCUAGUGUAGCGGUGAAAUGCGUAGAUAUUAGGAGGAACACCAGUGGCGAAGGCGACUCUCUGGACUGCAACUGACGCUGAGGCACGAAAGCGUGGGGAGCGAACAGG
rnacentral:rRNA from 1 species